UACGGAGGGUGCAAGGCGUUAUCCGGAUUCACUGGGUUUAAAGGGUGCGUAGGAGGGCAGGUAAGGUCAGUGGUGAAAUCCCCGAGCUUAACUUGGGAAACUGCCGUUGAUACUAUCUGUCUUGAAUAUCGUGGAGGUGAGCGGAAUAUGUCAUGUAGCGGUGAAAUGCUUAGAUAUGACAUAGAACACCAAUUGCGAAGGCAGCUCGCUACACGAAAUAUUGACUCUGAGGCACGAAAGCGUGGGGAUCAAACAGG
rnacentral:rRNA from 1 species